AUUGAACGCUGGCGGCAGGCCUAACACAUGCAAGUCGAGCGGAUGAAGGGAGCUUGCUCCUGGAUUCAGCGGCGGACGGGUGAGUAAUGCCUAGGAAUCUGCCUGGUAGUGGGGGAUAACGUCCGGAAACGGGCGCUAAUACCGCAUACGUCCUGAGGGAGAAAGUGGGGGAUCUUCGGACCUCACGCUAUCAGAUGAGCCUAGGUCGGAUUAGCUAGUUGGUGGGGUAAAGGCCUACCAAGGCGACGAUCCGUAACUGGUCUGAGAGGAUGAUCAGUCACACUGGAACUGAGACACGGCCCAGACUCCUACGGGAGGCAGCAGUGGGGAAUCUUGGACAAUGGGCGAAAGCCUGAUCCAGCCAUGCCGCGUGUGUGAAGAAGGUCUUCGGAUUGUAAAGCACUUUAAGUUGGGAGGAAGGGAAGUAAGUUAAUACCUUGCUGUUUUGACGUUACCAACAGAAUAAGCACCGGCUAACUUCGUG
rnacentral:rRNA from 1 species